GGAAGCCAAAUAUGCUAUAGAUUAAGGCUAGGAAGGUACCUUAAGGAUUUGAGGCCUUAAAAUUGAGUUUUGGACCCUUAAUCUUUGGAUUUAGGAGAGAGGUUAGAGAGAGAGUAGAGAGAGAAGGAAAAAGCUUCAAAUGAGAGGUUAAACAUGUUUAUAUAGUUCCUAAAACUUGGACACGGUGGAAUUCUACCCGAUACCGGCCUUAAACGAAGCUUUAGGUCGCACCCGAUUGAGUUUCCGUCACCCGGCGGGGACGUUUCUAAAACUUAUGUAACAAUGUUUUUGGGCUGAUUUCUUGAGUUCCUAAAUGGAUUGGACACUCAUUGAGUUAAAAUAAACAUAUAAAUUUUACUAACUAAACCCAAAAACGAUAUCGGCACAUUUCGAUUUCCGACGAGUUAUACGGGUAGAAUGGGUUUUCGGCGAUGAACAACUUCGGGUUGUUACAGAGAGAAUGCCCCGUUUGUGCAAGAUAGUUGGGGAUUAUUGACCAGAUGCGGUCGGGUAUGGGUUCCGAUGUCUGGUUAGGUUAGAUACACAGUUAUGGAGGAGGCUCACAAGUCUCACUUCUCUAUUGCAUGAAGCGAGAGAUCGCUUGGUACGUCGAGAGGUGCUUGACCUGUAGGAUGGUAAAGGCCGAACAUCAGAGGCCACAUGGUAAGCUGCAUCCCCGAGAGAUUUCAAUGUGGAAAUGGGAACAGAUCACGAUGGACUUCAUUACCAAGCUACCGAGGACGACGAAGGGGUUUGAUGCUAUAUGGGUCAUCAUGGAUCGAUUGACCAAGAGUGCCCAUUUAUUGGUCAUACGGGAGAGUUCAUCGGUCGAGAAGGUGGCUGGAGUGUAUGUCCGUGGGGUUGUUGCUCACCACGUGGUUCCAGUCUCUAUUAUUUCCAACCGAGAUGUUAUAUUUACAUCCCGUUUUUGGAAGACAUUCCACGAGAAACUGGGCAUGCGGCUGCAUUUUAUCACAGCAUAUCAACUGCAGACCGACAGUUAGAGCGAGCAGACCAUUCAGACCCUUAAGGACAUGUUGAGGGCGUGUGUUAUUGACUUUGGUAGGAGCUGGGAUUCCCACCUAGCCCAUGCAAAGUUUGCCUACAACAACAAUUAUCAUUCCAGCAUUGACACUCCACCUUUUGAGCUGUUUUAUGGGCGGAGAUGUUGCACCUCGGUCUGUUGGGGUGAGGUUGGACACAGGGUGAUGGGACAGACUGAGGUAGUCUUGCAAACUACCGAGAAGAUUCAACAAAUUAGACAACGAUUGUAGACUGAUCAAAGUCGACAGAAGAAUUACACUGACAGACGCUGAUCAGAGUUAGAGUUCCAGGUUGGUGACAUGGUACUACUGAAGGUCGCGCCUUGGAAGGGUGUGAUCCGAUUCAGGAAGAGAGGGAAAUUAGGUCCCUGAUACAUUGGGCCAUUCAGGAUCAUUUCCAGCGUUGGCUAGGUAGCAUACAUGCUAGAGCUACCAAAGGAGCUUAGUCGGAUCCACAACACUUUUCAAGUUUCACAAUUGCAAAAGUGCAUUAUGGAUUAGGAUUUAGUAGUAUCAUUGGAUGACAUUUAGGUCGAUGAGCACCUAAAUUAUGUGGAGAGACCUAUGGCCAUUCUUGAGAGAAAGAUGUCGGUUCUACAGAACAAGGAGAUACAUUUGGUAAAGGUAUAGUGGGAGCAUCGGAGGGGAUCCGAGUGGACGUGGGAGCUCGAGUCCGAGAUGCAGGAGCAUUACACAGAUCUAUUUACCGCAUCAGACUUCGAGGAUGAAUUCUAGGUCAAGUGGGGGAGAAUGGGAACAUCCCGAGAUUUUACAGGUAAUUCCGAACCUUCUUUACUAUAAUUAUUUCGUCAUUUGUAGUCCUUGGGGUUGGAAUUGUAGAGGCAAGAUAAGUAUAAGGGAGAAGGUUGCAACCUUGGAUCAAGAAAGAGUACACUGAGCGUACAUAAGAGUACGCUAAGCAUACUAAGGUCCGCCUUAGUAUGUUGGGCGUACAAUUGUGUAUGUUGGGCGUACUUAUGUCAAGAUGAAACCCUAAUAUUUGGGGUUUCGGGGCUAUAUAAGCAACCUUAUGAGCUCAUAACCCUCCCUUAACUCAAUCCCAAUACUUAGAGACGUUUUCCCAAAAUGCUAGCCAUUUCCUUGAGUAUGUGACAUUAUAGUGUGCAUUUGGAGUGUUUGGAGAAGAAGGUGUUGCAUCAAGGAGUUGGAGAAUAAGAUCAAGCUUCUAAAUCUGAAAUUGGUUGGUGCCCUACAAGUUCCAGAAGGUAAAAAGCUUCAAAAGUUGCACAUACAUUUUGUAGAUCUUACUAUUUUGNAUGGAGUUUACGGCCCAAGAACAAGCCUUGGCCGUAAACUCUUAGAAAUCCCACAAAUGAUGUGUUUAAGGCCCUUAAACUAUUUUUGGUUGGUCCUUUGAUUUAUUCCAAGGCUUUUGGUGGUGUUGGAUGGCUUUCUAACACCUUAGAAUUGAAUUUAUGCCUUGUUUUGGGGAGUUUACGGCCCAAGCACACACCUUGGCCGUAAACUCACAUAAGUCCCUCAAAAGUCAUGUUUCAAGUGUCCAAAUGCUAAAACCAAUGUCCUAUAAUUCAUAUCUAAGCCAUAGUAGUGAUUUGGAAGGGUUUAAGGGCAUGAAAAACCCCAUUUACAUGAGUUUACGGCCCAAGCUUAUGCCUUGGCCGUAAACUCCUUCAAAUGACUCAAAAUCAAAGUUUUAAAUGUUCUAAGUCCAUAUCUUGAAGUCCCUUAGCCAUAUCUAAAGUCCAAAUGAGUUUAGGAAGGAGUUUAAGGGCUUAAAACCCUUCAAAAUGGUGUUUACGGCCUAGGCAGCCUCCUGGGCUGUAAACUCACAUAUGAUGUCCAAUUUCAUGAUUAAAUGUCAAAUUUGGAAGCCAAAUAUGCUAUAGAUUAAGGCUAGGAAGGUACCUUAAGGAUUUGAGGCCUUAAAAUUGAGUUUUGGACCCUUAAUCUUUGGAUUUAGGAGAGAGGUUAGAGAGAGAGUAGAGAGAGAAGGAAAAAGCUUCAAAUGAGAGGUUAAACAUGUUUAUAUAGUUCCUAAAACUUGGACACGGUGGAAUUCUACCCGAUACCGGCCUUAAACGAAGCUUUAGGUCGCACCCGAUUGAGUUUCCGUCACCCGGCGGGGACGUUUCUAAAACUUAUGUAACAAUGUUUUUGGGCUGAUUUCUUGAGUUCCUAAAUGGAUUGGACACUCAUUGAGUUAAAAUAAACAUAUAAAUUUUACUAACUAAACCCAAAAACGAUAUCGGCACAUUUCGAUUUCCGACGAGUUAUACGGGUAGAAUGGGUUUUCGGCGAUGAACAACUUCGGGUUGUUACAGAGAGAAUGCCCCGUUUGUGCAAGAUAGUUGGGGAUUAUUGACCAGAUGCGGUCGGGUAUGGGUUCCGAUGUCUGG
rnacentral:lncRNA from 1 species